rnacentral:rRNA from 1 species
CCUACGGGUGGCAGCAGUGGGGAAUAUUGCACAAUGGGGGAAACCCUGAUGCAGCGACGCCGCGUGAGUGAAGAAGUAAUUCGUUAUGUAAAGCUCUAUCAGCAGGGAAGAAAAUGACGGUACCUGAGUAAGAAGCCCCGGCUACCUACGUGCCAGCCGCCGCGGUAAUACGUAGGGGGCAAGCGUUAUCCGGAUUUACUGGGUGUAACGGGAGCGUAGACGGCAGUGCAAGUCUGGAGUGAAAGGCGGGGGGUCAACCCCCGGACUGCACUGGAAACUGUAAGGCUGGAGUGCAGGAGAGGUAAGUGGAAUUCCUAGUGUAGCGGUGAAAUGCGCAGAUAUUAGGAGGAACACCAGUGGCGAAGGCGGCUUACUGGACUGUAACUGACGUUGAGGCUCGAAAGCGUGGGGAGCAAACAGGAUUAGAUACCCGGGUAGUC